GGCCCCAUAGCUCAAUUGGCAGAGCAACAGCCUUUUAAGCUGGUGGUUGGAGGUUCGAUUCCUCCUGGGGUCA
rfam:Parcubacteria bacterium GW2011_GWC1_41_7 TT76_C0008, whole genome shotgun sequence.